rnacentral:rRNA from 1 species
UGGUCGAGCGGUAGAGAGAAGCUUGCUUCUCUUGAGCGGCGGACGGGUGAGUAUGCCUAGGAAUCUGCCUGGUUGGGUAACGUUCGGAAACGAACGCUAAUACCGCAUACGUCCUACGGGAGAAAGCAGGGGACCUUCGGGCCUUGCGCUAUCAGAUGAGCCUAGGUCGGAUUAGCUAGUUGGUGAGGUAAUGGCUCACCAAGGCGACGAUCCGUAACUGGUCUGAGAGGAUGAUCAGUCACACUGGAACUGAGACACGGUCCAGACUCCUACGGGAGGCAGCAGUGGGGAAUAUUGGACAAUGGGCGAAAGCCUGAUCCAGCCAUGCCGCGUGUGUGAAGAAGGUCUUCGGAUUGUAAAGCACUUUAAGUUGGGAGGAAGGGCAGUUACCUAAUACGUGAUUGUUUUGACGUUACCGACAGAAUAAGCACCGGCUAACUCUGUGCCAGCAGCCGCGGUAAUACAGAGGGUGCAAGCGUUAAUCGGAAUUACUGGGCGUAAAGCGCGCGUAGGUGGUUUGUUAAGUUGGAUGUGAAAUCCCCGGGCUCAACCUGGGAACUGCAUUCAAAACUGACUGACUAGAGUAUGGUAGAGGGUGGUGGAAUUUCCUGUGUAGCGGUGAAAUGCGUAGAUAUAGGAAGGAACACCAGUGGCGAAGCGACCACCUGGACUAAUACUGACACUGAGUGCGAAAGCGUGGGGAGCAAACAGGAUUAGAUACCUGGUAGUCCACGCCGUAAACGAUGUCACUAGCCGUUGGAAGCCUUGAGCUUUUAGUGGCGCAGCUAACGCAUUAAGUUGACGCCUGGGGAGUACGGCCGCGGUUAAAACUAAUGAAUUGACGGGGGCCGCCAAGCGGUGGAGCAUGUGGUUUAAUUCGAAGCCGCAACUACCAGGCUGACUCCAUGAUUUAAGUUGCCUUCGGACUUGAACUGCAUGGUGAGCUCGGCGGGAUCGAAGCAGUUUCUAGGCGGAAGGCGGGCAU